AGAACAUAUAUUGUAUAAUUCCAAUUCUUUCAAAUUUGUUAAAGUUUAUUUUAUGACAUGGAAUAUGGUCCAUCUUGGUAAAUGUUCUAUGUGUACUUGAAAAGAAUUCUGCCAUUGUUGGGUGGAAUAUUCCAAAAUUUUCAGUUAGAUACAGUUGGCUGAUGGUGUUCAGUUCUCACAAUCUUGCAGAUUUUCUAUGUACUAGUUCUAUUCAUUACUGAGCAAGGAGUAUGAAAUCUCGAACUCUAACUGUAAUUUAUGUGUUUCUCCUUUCAGUUCUAUUAGCUUUUCUUCAUGUUCGAAGCUCUGUUGUUAGGCACACACACAUUUAAGAUUGUUCUGUCUUCUUGGUGAAAUGAUCAUUGUAUCAUUAUAGAAUGCCCUUCUUUAUACCUGACUUGUGAGAUCCUAAACAAAGAACCUACUAAGUUCUGCCCAGAUUUCUCACUUACAGAACAGUAAGAUAACAGACUUGUAUGGUUUUCAGCUGCUAACUUUGUGGUAAUUUGUUAUGCAGCAGUCGAAAAUUAAUACGGGUGCCUUUCCACAUUAAAUCAGUGCUGGCCUAUGUGAUCAGUACAUUAUGGAGGAAGCAACAAUGUGUGACUUUGUUUCUGUGUGUGUGUGUGUGUGUGUGUGUGUGCGCACGCGUGUAUAUUUGUAGAGAUGGGGUCUCCCUUUGUUGCCCAGGCUGGUCUUGAACUCCUGGCCUCAAGCAAUCCUCCCAACUCUGUGACUUUGACGACUACAUCACACAAGCGUCAUGGCAGCCUUGUGAAGAGGCUGACUUGGAAAAAAAAAAAAGAAAUGCUUCUGCCAACGUCCAACAACAUCUUCCAGCCAUAUGAAUGAGCCACCUUGGAAGGGGAUCCUCCAGCUCCAAAUAAGUCUUCAGAUGUGUGUAACCCCAGCCAAUAUCCAACUGAAACUUCAUGAGAGACCUUUGGCCAGAACUACCUAGCCAAGCAACUCCUGAAAUCCUGAUCACAGAAACAAGAAUAGAGCAAGAGUUGAUGAGUCUUGCAAUGAGAGAAUUGAUGAAAUACUUAAGGAAGAACUUCUUAACGGAAGGGCAAUUAAACACAAAUGGCUUUGCAUGGGAGGAUAUGGAAAUCUUGCUCCUUUGUGAUCUUUGAAAAGAGGCAGCAGCUGUUGUGAGCAACUUAAGACUCACAGAGUGCUAUCCUGGAGGAGGAGGAGGAUGAACCACAUCCUGGGAAUAACUCUCUAUACACUUUAACAUAUUUUCCUGGUGGUCCUUAUGCACACUACAGUUUGAGAAUCACGGUUAUUGAGAAAUAAAAGGUUUUCUUUCUCUGCCUAGGCUUAGGCCUUUAAUGACCUAUUUAGUCUUACAUGUGGUGAUGGAGACCUCUGCCUAAGCUUAUUUUCUACAGGGAUGGUACACAUGCUAAAAAUGAAAUGGGAGAUGGAGAUGCUAAAGGAUUUAAAAAGAGGUUUUAGAUCAAGGUGUUCUAGGCCAGGUACAGGAGAGGUUUAUGGGCUCCUACUUUUGCCAAAAGCUCCCCUUACAACUUUAUUAUCUGUAUGUCCU